rnacentral:rRNA from 1 species
GAUGAACGCUGGCGGCGUGCCUAAUACAUGCAAGUCGAACGAGUUCUGAUUAUUGAAGGGUGCUUGCAUCUUGAUUUAAUUUUGAACGAGUGGCGGACGGGUGAGUAACACGUGGGUAACCUGCCCUUAAGUGGGGGAUAACAUUUGGAAACAGAUGCUAAUACCGCAUAAAUCCAAGAACCGCAUGGUUCUUGGCUGAAAGAUGGCGUAAGCUAUCGCUUUUGGAUGGACCCGCGGCGUAUUAGCUAGUUGGUGAGGUAACGGCUCACCAAGGCAAUGAUACGUAGCCGAACUGAGAGGUUGAUCGGCCACAUUGGGACUGAGACACGGCCCAAACUCUACGGGAGGCAGCAGUAGGGAAUCUUCCACAAUGGACGCAAGUCUGAUGGAGCAACGCCGCGUGAGUGAAGAAGGCUUUCGGGUCGUAAAACUCUGUUGUUGGAGAAGAAUGGUCGGCAGAGUAACUGUUGUCGGCGUGACGGUAUCCAACCAGAAAGCCACGGCUAACUACGUGCCAGCAGCCGCGGUAAUACGUAGGUGGCAAGCGUUAUCCGGAUUUAUUGGGCGUAAAGCGAGCGCAGGCGGUUUUUUAAGUCUGAUGUGAAAGCCCUCGGCUUAACCGAGGAAGUGCAUCGGAAACUGGGAAACUUGAGUGCAGAAGAGGACAGUGGAACUCCAUGUGUAGCGGUGAAAUGCGUAGAUAUAUGGAAGAACACCAGUGGCGAAGGCGGCUGUCUGGUCUGUAACUGACGCUGAGGCUCGAAAGCAUGGGUAGCGAACAGGAUUAGAUACCCUGGUAGUCCAUGCCGUAAACGAUGAAUGCUAGGUGUUGGAGGGUUUCCGCCCUUCAGUGCCGCAGCUAACGCAUUAAGCAUUCCGCCUGGGGAGUACGACCGCAAGGUUGAAACUCAAAGGAAUUGACGGGGGCCCGCACAAGCGGUGGAGCAUGUGGUUUAAUUCGAAGCAACGCGAAGAACCUUACCAGGUCUUGACAUCUUUUGAUCACCUGAGAGAUCAGGUUUCCCCUUCGGGGGCAAAAUGACAGGUGGUGCAUGGUUGUCGUCAGCUCGUGUCGUGAGAUGUUGGGUUAAGUCCCGCAACGAGCGCAACCCUUAUGACUAGUUGCCAGCAUUUAGUUGGGCACUCUAGUAAGACUGCCGGUGACAAACCGGAGGAAGGUGGGGAUGACGUCAAAUCAUCAUGCCCCUUAUGACCUGGGCUACACACGUGCUACAAUGGAUGGUACAACGAGUUGCGAGACCGCGAGGUCAAGCUAAUCUCUUAAAGCCAUUCUCAGUUCGGACUGUAGGCUGCAACUCGCCUACACGAAGUCGGAAUCGCUAGUAAUCGCGGAUCAGCACGCCGCGGUGAAUACGUUCCCGGGCCU